AAACCUCUGGUUUUUGGAUCAGGAGAAUCUGACUUCUAUCCUUGUUGUUUCCAUGAAGGUCUGUGGGAGCAUCUGGUUUUUAGUUCUGCUUCUUUGGAGAAAUCUUGGUGUAUAUAGAUUAUUAUGGAAAAGCAGUGGUGCAGAUAAGAGUCAGAAGAUGGCCACGUUAUGGGCAUUCUUAACUCUUGUGGAAGGAACAUUCUACAGGAAGUUUGGCCACAGGCUGAAAAGAUGCUUUCUCCAGCUGCCAGUAGUCUGUCUCUUGCUUUUGAGAGCGCCAUUUUUCUGAAGGAUCAUUGCUGUUGUGGACUGUCUCGGCUGCAGAGGGGAGAGAUUCCUGGAGCCUGUUCAUGAACUUGACGUCAGGAAAGCGACUUGCGUGGAACCUUGCGGUGGGAUUAAUGCUGCGCAGGAUGGAUGAUACACUCCCAACAUUCCAAGAGCAGAGCUGGAUGAAAUUUUUUGUGCAAAACGUUUUUGAUGAAAAAAGCAGGUUCGGCAACACCUAAAUGUUUUGCAAAUUUCGAGUCAAUUUUUGCCAGUUUUUUUCUGUUGUGGAGGAAAGAAAUGCCAAAAAAAAGUCAAAAUGUUUUGUUUUGACAUUUUCUAGACUAAACAUUUUGACUUUCUUGGUUUGAAAUGACUUUAGUUUCAAAGUUUCU